AAAAUUGAUAGUAUUUUUUUUUUUUAUUUUAAAAUUCAGAUACUGAUAUACAGAUUAAAAGUUAGGCCUGCAGUAUAUCAUUGUUAACCUUCUGAUUAAAAAAAUCAACAGCAAAAGAAGAUGUUAAAAAUAAAGUUCAUGGUUGUGAAUAAAAUUGAUUUCAAUAAUCUUUUUUAAUUAUUAUUUUAAAACAACUUGAUGUUGUUGUGUUUCACGCCAUAUUAUCAGACCACCUUAAGUGGGUCCGCCUUAAAUUUUGAGUUUGUGUGAUCGCUGUUGAUUGGUAGCUAAACUGCUGGUAAACUGUGUACAGAAAAAAAAAUUCUGGUAGCAACAUUGUGCAGUAUGAGCGAACCAUUUCACCAAAAAAAGGGGAAGCAAGGCAAGACGUGGCUGCAGCGGUCUGCAGACGUGACUUCUGAUCAAAUUCGAACCUCCUCCUAAAGAAACAAAGAGCGACAUUACAUUGCGGGAUGACGUCACCUGAAAAUGACCAAUAGCGCAGCGCGCUGCUGAGCUGUGUGCCAACCGCUCUUUUUUUCAUGCAGGAGACUCAAGUUGGCUUCGCUAACGGACACAGUUUUGAACUCGUAUAUUAGCGCCAUUUAUUGCUGCUUGGACCACAGCAUCUUCGGAAUUUGUAGACAUCCUGGCAGCUUACAAUUAGUUCGAGGUGAGGUUUAAGGGUGGUGGCACAGCUAAGACCCAAGAGUCUCUUUCAAGACACUGAAUUUGAGCAGAAACCAUAAGGAUACUCAAAGGACCUGUGACUCUCAGGAAAUGCAUCAAAUGAGAGGACAGAUGAAACAGUUUCAAGACAAUGGCAGGAAAAACAUGCUGAAGAUUGAAACAAACCUUGGCUGGAAAUAUUUGAAGGUAUCUAGCCAGUCCACAAUGAAAGCUUCGUUGCACCCCAUGAGUCUUCUGGCAGAAAUGAUGGCACCUGUAUUCUUUGGUUUCCCUAAACAUCACACCCUGCCUGUUUAUACGAGGCGCUUCAAUUAAGUCUGCACCCAAAGAUUCAACAAGAGGUAAGCAGUGGUAUUAUUCAAGUUUUGCUAAAGAAAGAUGGACAGGAGACACUAAUCUUAAUCGGCCGAGCUCAGGUUCAUGUCCAGGUGAGCAGUUUCAUACGCUAUAAAAUGUAAAUUGAAUGAUAGGUCUCAUCACCAUGCAUUCAGCCAUUAACUUCAAGUUCUAUGAUAAAUCAAUAGGAAACUUAAAUACGUUUUCCAACAAAUUAUGAUUGUGAUUAGGGCUGCGUUGUCUAUGU